UUUAUUUUUACAUUCUGGUUUCCAGAAUGCUCCGCAUGAGGCUGUUUUUUAUAAUUUUAUUCUGUAAAGAUAAAGACUUGUUAAUGUUUAAUGUUCAUUUUUCUUGGACAAACGGUUGCCAAUAAACUAGAUACAUAUAAAUCUACAGUAAGUUACUGGCAAAAAGCUGCAUAACUACAGCAAUUUUCUUUAUAGUGCAGCAUUCAGGAGUCCCAGACAGAAUUAUGUGCUGUUGAAUGGGCCCUGUUGGAAAACAGCAACUGGCUAGUGGCCCCCAGAAGCUUUUCCCGGGAAACACAUGGAAAUGGCCACUGAAUCCAACCUAGACUGAGACUUUGGAUGACCAAGUGUCCAUGGUGCAACAUG